UGAGAAUAAACAUGAAGAGUACUGUGACU
rnacentral:piRNA from 1 species